CAGUCGCCACGGUAAAACGGAAGGUCCAGGCGUUAUCCGGAUUUAUUGGGUUUAAAGGGAGUGUAGGCGGUCUGUUAAGCGUGUUGUGAAAUUAGGUGCUCAACAUCUAACUUGCAGCGCGAACUGGCGGACUUGAGUGCACGCAACGUAUGCGGAAUUCAUGGUGUAGCGGUGAAAUGCUUAGAUAUCAUGACGAACUCCGAUUGCGAAGGCAGCGUACGGGAGUGUUACUGACGCUUAAGCUCGAAGGUGCGGGUAUCGAACAGGAUUAGAUACCCCCGUAGUCCCUGUCUCUUAUACA
rnacentral:rRNA from 1 species